AACCUUGUGCAGUGACAGUAUCGCUAACAAUGAAGUUAUAGCCGAGUUGCGAUUAUUGCCAACCAACUCGCCCAGUCUGCCGGCACCCUUCGGGGCUGUGCCAACGCUGAGGCAAUUUUUUUAGGCUCGAAAGAGC